AACGCACGAGACCUGCGGACCUGCGGAAGGAUCAUUAAUGAGAAGCUGCCCCUCGUGGGUAGACCUCCCACCCUCUGUGAACUUACUUUUGUUGCUUUGGCAGGCCCGUCCUCUGGACCGCCGGCUUCGGCUGGCCCGUGCCUGCCAGAGGAUUCCAAACCCUGUCUGUCAGUGUUGUCUGAGUCUAUAUGAAAUCGUUAAAACUUUUAGCAAUGGAUCUCUAGAUCGGAAGAGCACACG
rnacentral:misc_RNA from 1 species